rnacentral:rRNA from 1 species
GUGGAUUAGAUACCCUGGUAGUCCACGCUGUAAACGAUGAGUGCUAGGCGUCGGCACGCUUGCGUGUCGGUGCCGCAGCUAACGCGUGAAGCACUCCGCCUGGGGAGUACGGUCGCAAGAUUAAAACUCAAAGGAAUUGACGGGGGCCCGCACAAGCGGUGGAGCAUGUGGUUUAAUUCGACGCAACGCGCAGAACCUUACCAGCCCUUGACAUGCCGUGCUACUUGCAGAGAUGCAGGGUUCCAGCAAUGGACGCGGACACAGGUGCUGCACGGCUGUCGUCAACU